GUAGGUGGCAAGCGUUGUCCGGAAUUAUUGGGCGUAAAGCGCGCGCAGGCGGUUCUUUAAGUCUGAUGUGAAAGCCCACGGCUCAACCGUGGAGGGUCAUUGGAAACUGGAGAACUUGAGUACAGAAGAGGAAAGCGGAAUUCCACGUGUAGCGGUGAAAUGCGUAGGGAUGUGGAGGAACACCAGUGGCGAAGGCGGCUUUCUGGUCUGUAACUGACGCUGAGGCGCGAAAGCGUGGGGAGCAAACAGGGAUUAGAUACCCUGGUAGUCCACGCCGUAACCGAUGAGUGCUAAGUGUUAGGGGGUUUCCCGCCCCUUAGUGCUGCAGCUAACGCAUUAAGCACUCCGCCUGGGGAGUACGGCCGCAAGGCUG
rnacentral:rRNA from 1 species